rnacentral:rRNA from 1 species
AUUGAACUUAAGAGUUUGAUCCUGGCUCAGAUUGAACGCUGGCGGUAUGCUUUACACAUGCAAGUCGAACGGAUUAAAGAGCUUGCUCUUUAGUUAGUGGCGAACGGGUGAGUAAUAUAUCGGAAC